CCUUUGGUUCUCUUUUAGAAAUUUCAUCUAAAAUUGAGAAUUUCACUGUUUAAAUUUUGAAAACAGGCAUAUUUAUUCAAGAUAGCACAUGGCUUUCUGAACAAAAUUCCAUUUCUGUGAGUGCAGGGGAAUUACCUGGUUUUUCUUCUCACUCUGCAGAAUUCUCUUUGUUUCUUCCUGAAGGACUAGAUUAUUUCUGUGGCAUAAAAAGAAGAAACAAUGAGCACUGCUACCUACACUAACGUAAUACUGAAACCAGAGUUGCAGAGCCCAGUGCACUCAGUGAGGAAGUGGUAGUCAUCCACGAGUGAGCGGAGGCGAGAGGAGGCAAGGGCAAGUGCGGUGCGGGCAAAGUGAAGACUUUACCUUUGAUAUGCAGAUUAGUGCCCCUUCCACUUGUUCCCUCGGUUGCACCACCACCCAGUGAACGGUCCUGGCAAAGUCAUCAGGCUGAAAACUGAUGUAAUAGAAAGAGAGGGCUUUUUUCAGGCUCACCAGUUCCUCGGUUUGGGUCACCACACGGCUGCAAAAAUAGCUCUCCCAGAAAAAUGGAAGAGGUGGUCAGGAAUAGAGGAUGUAUGUGAGCCACGUGCGAUGGUGCUGCAGCUGAAGAAACCCACAUAAGAUGAUGACCUCAGAGACGUAUUUUUGUCAAGCUGUUUCUUGCCAUUGACUCACUACAGAAUAUAGUAGAGUCACACCACCUGUGUUUCCUCCUGAAUCUAGAUAUCAUCUAAAGUUGUUUUAUAAGACCACUGUUCUUAAAAAAACAACUGACAUUUGCUUAUCUACAUUUACUUAUGAAAUUGAUUGUUUUACCUAAGAAAUAAUCUGGUUCAUCAAAAUUAAUAAGAAUAGUCAGAAAAGUCACAAAGAAAGUGAAACCUGUCUCUAGUGAUUUCUAGCAUUCUUUGGACUGCAUUCACAGUUGAAUCUUAAACUGUAGUCCUUCACAAUAUGAUCCACAAGUUGAUUCCAAGUGAAGUUAUUUCUUUUGUAUUCCUAUUUCUUUUGCAUUCCUGUAGCGCAUUAUCUACCUUUUAUAACAGA